GAUUUCCAAAAAUCGUGUAAUAGAUCUCUGAUUCACGUUAUCCGUGUGGAAGCUGCAACCUCAUUCAUCUGUCCGCCGUCACGAUUAAUCCUUUUUGACGAUAGUCUGAAAUUGGAUUUAAAUUUUAAUGUAACAGUUAUUAUAGGUCUACUAGAAUCUGAUGGCAAAAAAAAGUAAAAAAAAUAGCGAUUUUCAUAUGGCAACAAAAAAAAAAUGUCAUCUGUCAAAAUUGUAAUUUCGAGGAAUUGUUUUUGGUUUGGCUUCAAAUUUCCUUUAGAAAGUGGUGAAAAUGUCGAAGAAACCUCUUCGAUCGCAAGCAAGAAAUAUUAUUUUCAAUGUUUAUCAAAGAAUAAUAAUUGAUGAACAAGGUGCAGAACAAACACAAUCGAUAUUGAGCCAUGUGCAAGCGUUGACUGGUGUUUUAAGACGAAUUGUUGCUGAAGGCAGAUCUAACAGAGGCGUAUUUAGCACGCCCGAUAAAAAGAAGAAAGGUGGAAAAAAUACUGCGUCUUCCUCGUCUUCCUCUUCCGAUGAAGACUUUUAUGGAUGUGCAGUAUUUGGAACCAUUUUCAAGUUCUGAUAGCCUAUAAUUAAUUUAUGAAUUCAUGAACAGAGUCAUUGGAGUUUUCAUCUAAAUUUCGAACCCCACGUUCGCCACAUGAAAAAGACGGGGCUUUUAUCGAAACUCACGAAGGCUGUGUAAGGAGUGCUGUCCAGUUGAAAACAGAAGAUAUAUUGUUACUAGUCUUUAUGGCUUUAGAUUUUAUCUCAUCAUAUAUUGUGAAUUUAAGUUAACUAGUGGUCCCUUAGUAGUCGGAAUUCCACUAUAAUUAAUUGAAAUUCUAAGUUUGAACAUUAUUAAAGUUCUAUUGUCAAAGACCAUUUUUAUUAAUUUCAUAUAGUAUUCAUAAUUCACUAUUCACUAUUCAUAAUUAGACCAAAGACUUUAAUAAUAAACAAAAGUGUCUAAAUUUGUGUAUGUGUGUCAAAUACAAUAUGGUAGUGUGUGUAAUGUUUUUUUAUUGAUUUAAUGUAUUUUUUAUAAUUACAGAAAAUAUUAACAUUCUGCACUC